AUUGAACGCUGGCGGCAUGCUUUACACAUGCAAGUCGAACGGUAACAGGCCGCAAGGUGCUGACGAGUGGCGAACGGGUGAGUAAUGUAUCGGAACGUGCCCAGUCGUGGGGGAUAACGCAGCGAAAGCUGCGCUAAUACCGCAUACGAUCUAUGGAUGAAAGCGGGGGACCGUAAGGCCUCGCGCGAUUGGAGGGGCCGAUAUCAGAUUAGGUAGUUGGUGGGGUAAAGGCUCACCAAGCCAACGAUCUGUAGCUGGUCUGAGAGGACGACCAGCCACACUGGGACUUGGACACCGCCCAGACUCCUACGGGAGGCAGCAGUGGGGAAUUUUGGACAAGGGGCGCAAGCCUGAUCCAGCAAUGCCGCGUGCAGGAAGAAGGCCUUCGGGUUGUAAACUGCUUUUGUACGGAACGAAACGGUCUGGGUUAAUACCUCGGGCUAAUGACGGUACCGUAAGAAUAAGCACCGGCUAACUACGUGCCAGCCGCCGCGGUAAGAC
rnacentral:rRNA from 1 species